rnacentral:tRNA from 1 species
UCCUGGUUAGCUCAGUUCGUAGAGCGUUCUGAUGGAAAUGGAGAGGUUCAUGGUUCGAUACCAGGACCAGGCG